rnacentral:lncRNA from 1 species
CGUGAGCCACUGCACCCAGCUGGAUAUAUAUUUUUCGUUGCAAAAUGAUAAUGGAACUGAAAGUUUUGUGGCAAAAAUUGCAGUUAUAAGGAAAAGAGGUUAAUGUUUCCACAGGUAGAAAAAUGGGCUACCAAGUAACUAUGUGACCUUAGCUACCCGUCAUGAACUGGGUGUUAUCUGACCCAUCAACCCAUCAAGUUGGUGUGCGAAAUAACACUCCAUCAUCAAAUGGAAGUGGCAUAUUUGUGAUCUGGCCCUAGCAGGCUGUGAAGGCACAAGUCAGUUACAUGAAGAAGUGGCCCAAAUGCCUCUGGUCUCCACUUCUACUACCCUAGCUUCUCUCUUGCAGCCUGCACCUGUGGUCUCACGGAGUUCCCUAUGAUCACUUGACAGAAGAAGAGAAGACUAGGGCCUGGUUAACAGAUGUUCUGCAUAAUACUCAGGCAUCACCCUAAAGGGGACAGCUGCAGGAAAAAUAGAACAAAAAGGCUUAGAAAGGGCACAUUUGCUCACUGAGCUGGGAUAUGUAUUGUCUCCUGCGCUUGGACAUCAGCACUCCUGGUUCGCAGGCCUUUGGACUUUGACGAGGAUUUCCAUCAUGACUUCUCCUGGUUCUCAGGCCUUUUGACUCAGACGUCUUAUGCCAUUGGCUUUCCUGCUUCUCCAGCUGGCAGAUCCUGGGACUUCUUGGCCUCCAUAAUCACGAAAAACCUCUGGUAAAGUCAUGGAGUGCCUACUUGAACGAUAUUCAAAAGGAAAAGAAGAGAUGGAAGGAAACUGUUGCUUCAUUUUCUGUUCAUGGAAGGGGAGAGAGAAUAUCUGAGUUUGGUGGGAGCAGGCACAGACAGCAGAAGAAGCAGAAAAAUUACUUGAGCAUUUUGAAAUAAAUGUCCUUUUGAGGCCCAAGAUGUCUACCACCCAAUUGGAAAAGCAGGAAAGACCAUGUAAACUUGAGAACCAGUGCAACUGGUGAGGCUGAGGAGCAAGCAUGUUUCCAAGAUGAAGCA